AGAGUUUGAUCAUGGCUCAGGAUGAACGCUGGCGGCGCAUUUAAGACAUGCAAGUCGAACGAAAAAUUUUUACCGAACGGAAAUGAAGAUUUAUUGGAUUUGAAGUUCACCAAAAAUUUUUAGUGGCGGACGGGUGAGUAAUACAUAGGUAAUCUGCCUUUCAGAGGGAAAUAACAAGAGGAAACUUUUGCUAAUGUCCCAUAAGACCACGUUGUGGCAUCACAGAGUGAUCAAAGGAGAAAUCCGCUGAAAGAUGAGCCUGUGGCUGAUUAGCCAGUUGGUGGGGUAAAGGCCUACCAAAGCAAUGAUCAGUAGCCGAGCUGAGAGGCUGGCCGGCCACAUUGGGACUGAGACACGGCCCAGACUCCUACGGGAGGCAGCAGUUGGGAAUAUUGGACAAUGGAGGAAACUCUGAUCCAGUGACGCCGCGUGAAGGAAGAAGGUCUUCGGAUUGUAAACUUAUUUUGUCAGGGAAGAAAAAAUGACUGUACCUGAAGAAAAAGCACCGGCUAACUACGUGCCAGCAGCCGCGGUAAUACGUAGGGUGCAAGCGUUAUCCGGAUUUACUGGGUGUAAAGGGCGAGUAGACGGCGUUGCAAGUCAGAUGUGAAAUCUUGGAGCUCAACUUCAAAAUUGCAUCUGAAACUGUAAUGCUAGAGUGCAGGAGAGGUAAACGGAAUUCCUAGUGUAGCGGUGAAAUGCGUAGAUAUUAGGAGGAACACCAGUGGCGAAGGCGGUUUACUGGACUGUAACUGACGUUGAGGCGCGAAAGCGUGGGGAGCAAACAGGAUUAGAUACCC
rnacentral:rRNA from 1 species